rnacentral:rRNA from 1 species
CGGGGGGCUGCAGUGAGGAAUUUUGCGCAAUGGGGGAAACCCUGACGCAGCAACGCCGCGUGAGUGAUGAAGGCCUUCGGGUCGUAAAGCUCUGUCAAGUGGGAAGAACCCGGUUGAUUAUAAUACAAUUAACCGCUGACGGUACCACUGAAGGAAGCACCGGCUAACUCCGUGCCAGCAGCCGCGGUAAUACGGGGGGUGCAAGCGUUAUUCGGAAUCAUUGGGCGUAAAGGGCGCGUAGGCGGUUUUUUAAGUCGGAUGUGAAAGCCCGGGGCUUAACCCCGGAAGUGCAUUUGAAACUGAAAGACUUGAGUAUGGGAGAGGGAAGUGGAAUUCCUGGUGUAGAGGUGAAAUUCGUAGAUAUCAGGAGGAACACCGGUGGCGAAGGCGACUUCCUGGACCAAUACUGACGCUGAGGCGCGAAGGCGUGGGUAGCAAACAGGAUUAGAUACCCGUGUAGUC